UUCUGAAACUGCUGUGUUCUGCGGCUGAAUAACACCCAUAGGGAGACUCCCAGUUUACUUGAACCUUUCGCUGCCUGCAGUAAAAGAAGAACAACAACACUUAUGAUUCAGAAUUUGCAUUCAUUUCUGAAGGGAAAAAAUGGUGAUAAUGAAGCUUUUUUCAAUGUACUCACAGUGGCUUUUUUUUCAACAAUGAUUUUCAGUGUAAUGAAGGAACCGAGAGAUUCAGAGACAAACUGAAGCUGGAUCAUCAGACUUGAUCUCUUACCAUUAGACUCUGUCUGUGGUCUGGAGUUUAUCAACUAGAGAUCCUCGGCGGCAGCAGCACCAGUGAAAACAUCUUCUUUGUUUCUGUUCAUGACAAACCUUUCUUUGACCUUCCUAUCAUCUUCUUCACUUCGCUCUCUUCUUCUCCCGAUUGCUGCCCGUGUGGAGGAACCCACGGGGAGCCUGAGGUGGCACAGGGCAUGCCCGGCGGGCCCGACAGGCCCCAACAUACAGAGCUGUGGCUCUCGACCACAAAGAGCCAGACAUUUCCACUCAACCCUGGAAUUCAUCUUCAUGACUCGCCUCAGUCAGUCAGUGGUUCUUUUAGAACCUAAGAAGAUGAGCUAGAACACUCCAGAACUUCUCUAAGCACACGCCAGGCCUUGCGGCCUUGUCUUUCCAUUCCCCAAAGACUACAGGACUUCAGCUGAGUCCCUCUCAGCUCUUGGUUCUUCUUCACUUUUCACAUGGGAAGAAACUCCCAGUCACCAUCGAGUCAGAACAUCUUUGGAGUUAAUCACUCUUCAGACCCGGAAGAACGUGAUCACAAUUCCAAAACCACCACUGCUCCAACCAUCAAGACUUUUGCCCAAGACUGCAUUCGGACACUUGUUCAACGACCAAGGCAAUGCAAGUACAAUUAACUAAACAAAACAGAGGUUUAGUAUAAGCUGUAGACAGCACUGAUGGUUUCACUCAGGUGGCUAACUGACUCUUUAUAGACAUAUCUUUUAUAUACAUUUACCUUUGAGCUAAAUUCACUACACAGUCAUACAAGUAAUAUAAAGAAUACAAAUUAUAUCAGGUAAAUUAAAUAUAUGGCAUAUAUAUGCAAUUAAUAUAUGUGUACAUUAUUCUUCUAUUACAUCAUAUUGAUAUUCAUACUGACAUUUAAUGGCACUAUUCAAUGGGUAAAUUAAUUUAUCAGAGUCAGAAAUUCAACAAACAAACACACACAAGGUUAGGCUUUUAUUUGUACAUAUAACAUAGAUCGAUCUAUGGAAAUUAUGGUGAAUGCUUCUUCUGAAGGAGCUUCACAGGCUUUUGGCUGCUUUUUUUACUAACCACCAGAUCACGCUGUUUUCGGCACUCUCGAAGCUUUGAAUCUUUUCCCGAGACAGUCAGAGGAAAGUCUCUGUGCUUCACAAGGUUUCAUUUGCCAGUCACUCCUGUCGAGUGUUGAAUGAAUGAGUGUCCCACUUCUUUACUUUGAACCAGAAGAUGCUCCCACUUUUGACGCAAGGCCUCAUGGCACGUAGGAAACUUGUGGAUAGUUUUAAAUGGGGAAAAAUGCAACGCUUAUUAUUAUAAGCGUUUUAUUAUGGUCAUAAAACAGGCAGGGUCAGACAUUGGCGAAACAUGUAUGUAACAGCAAAACAAAAGAGAAGUCUGUAAGGCAGACGAGGGUCGAUGAACGGCGAACGUAAUCCAGGGGGGUAGGCAAAAGGGGUAAUCCGAUAAGACAGGCUAGAGUCCCAAAGGGCAGGCAGCGUAACAGACAAAAUGAGAUAACCAGGUGAGAAGUUGAAACUCAGAGAACUAGACAAGAACAUUGGUAACUAGGAUAAGGCUUUGUAUGAAUGUUAAUACAAUACAAUACUCGGCGAAUAGAGUCCAAGGCUUAUAUAGAGUCUCUGAUUGGAUGCAGGUGAUCAGCGCAACAGCUGAUGGGCAAUGUAGUCCAGUGCCAUAAGAUCAAGUUGAGUUUUUCGAAAUGCUGUAUGGAAAUUACCUAGUGACUAAAAUAACUAUACUCUAGUUUGGCUUGUUUUGAGUGAGUUUCAAACAUGCAGCUAAAUUUACACCAAUUAUGUUACCUAGAUAACCUAGUUAAUUUAUAGAAGCAGCACUUCUGCAUUUACCAAGUUAGUGUAAUGAGUGUGGCGGGGCCAGUGGAGUUUAAUGAUAAUGAGCGACACCUGCACCACUCAGCGGUCUCGAGACCCACGGAGGAGCUCCGGAAAGAUAAAAGAAGGAGUGAUGACAGGGGAAGACAAGAGAGGACCAGGCCUAGACUUUAUUUGUAUUUUGUGUGCAGCAGUUGUCCGUGGCUUAAGUUGUUGAAAAUGACCAUAUCUGAGUCAAGCCCAUCAGAAAAGAUAACAGUCUUAAACAGUAUUGGGCAUGUUACUUUUAAAAAAAUGAUUAGUUAUAGCUACUAGUUACUUUAUACAAAUAAUAACUGAGUUAGUAUCUGAGUAAAUAAUAGGUUAUAAUAAAUUAUAGUAAUACCGCAUUUCAUUGUCAGUAACGGUAACAACGUUGUAAUGGGGGAAACAGUAAUUAGUUUGAUUACUGAAAAAAAAAACACUGUUAGUAACGCCGUUUAUUUAUAACAUCGUUAUUCCCAUCACUGGUCUUAAAUAACUAAAUUGUGGUGAAAUGUGUAGUAACUGCACACGGUACUAUUUAUGUAUAACAGCUUUGUUUAAAAGAAAUCAGACCAAGCCUGACAGGAAUGGAAAAAAAAAGUCAUUCAACCACAAGGUUCACACUCACACAUACAACACGACAUGAAUCAUAACCUUCCACUAACAAGAUUUUUUGUCUGCCCGACAGGUCAAACUACAUUGCAUUAAAAUAACCAAGACAUACAGAUGAACACACACAGUCUGAAUUUGUUUUAAUGGUUUAGAGUGUAAUUUAAUGCAAAAUAAGUUAUACAGUAUAAUUGGUAAAGAUUUGUAUUGCUGUAAUGAAUAUUUAUUUACUAUAUCUCCAGAAUGACUGUAUGUUCACUUGGAUUUUUUUUUUUUUUUAUUAUUAUUAUUAUUUUUUUUUUUUUGUCCAGAAUUAGUGCUUCAUGUGCUACAUUCUUCUCACCAAUCCAAACUGACUUUGAAUCUCUGAAGUCUCUGGGUUUCCCAAGUUUUAAGAUCAUCUAAUGCUGAUGGGUGCAUAUGUCACAUGGUCUUCCUCUUUAACUUUCUAUUAAAAAAAAAAAAAAAAAAAAAAAAAAA